GGUUCACUUAGAAAUGGAAAUAAAUGUACUUAUCCUCAUGUCAUGACUUUCACUCCUCUCCCAGAUAGCAAAAUUCCUGAUGCCCAGAUCAGGUCCACACCUGACACUUUCAUCUGGCCCACAUACAGCGUGGAAAGAUGGCACUUUGGCAGUCCGCUCCUGUUUGCCAGAUUUGGGCCACAGGCAAGCCAAAGGAAGGCCCAAUGUCAGCCAUGAAUAAACCAAAUAAAGCAGAAAUGGCCCAAAUCUGGGCCACAUUGAUUUUAAUUCUGGCCCAGAUCCAACACCGUGCUCCGGCCCACAUACUGUGAAGAAUGAUGGCACUUGGGCAGUCCACUCCUAUUUGCCAGAUUUGGGCCACAAGCUAGCCAUAAGAAGGCAUGUCAGCCAUGAAAAUAUGGUAUGAUGCUAAAAGGAAGAGUACUUUCAAAGUCCUGCCCACUCUGCUUCCCCAAUCAAUAUACAAGAACGGAGGAAAGGUCUUCAGACCCACAACCACAGAAUCCUGGAAGUCAUUCGUUUGACGUACAACCUGUGGGGACCAACAUGGUGAUGCAUUCCUGCACAUUUUGUGCCUUGGGGAUGAGACAACGACAUUCCACACUGUCGCCUGUAACGGAGCCGAUGAGACGAGAGGCGUGUGGAUCCAUUUGCAAGCUUUUAUUUCUCAACAGAGACAUGGUCAUAACAGGCAGGGUCAAACAAAUGGCAAACAGGUAUACUGAGGGCAAGACAGAUGAGGGGUAAUCCAGGUACACGAGCAAUAAUCCGGGUAGGGGCGAACAGAGUCCGAGACAGCAGGCAAAGGGUUAAUCCAAGAUACAGCGGCAGAAAUCAGUACACGAGGAAACAGGCAAGGCAAGACUAAGACAACUAAGUGGGCGCCGUAGAGUAGCUAUCACUGGGGGAGCGAUAAACGCUAGACAAUACGGAAACUAAACAAACACAGAAUGGCUCGGUAAAGCAGCUAUCGCUAGGAGAAGGAUAUAUGCACAGCUAAACAUAAACAGAAUAGCUUGGUAAGGCAGCUAACACUUGGAGAGUGCUACACGCAGAACAAUACUCAGCCCACUGUGAACGGAAAUCCAUGGUUUAUAUAGAGUGUGUGAUAGUUCUCAGGUGUGAGCGUGUGAUUGAGACAGCUGUGUGUACUUGGUGCAAUGAAUGAUGGGAAAUGUAGUCUGGUGAAGUGCAACAAUAGUGCGGUGCAAGAGUCCAUGUGAUGAGCGAGUGACCUCUGGUGGUGAGUGAACGGAAGACCAUAACCCGGAUUCGUGACAUCGCCAUUGUUUCGGGCCAUGCCUUUGAAACAGACUUGUUGCUUGAGGCUGUUAAUUUAAUUUGUUAAGGCUGUCUUUUUUGUGCUUGAUGUUAGCUACACUAACAUCUUCCUUCCUGGGAAUUUCUCCAGCAUGCAGUAUAUCAUACACAGUAAAAAAAGCAGUGUCAGUUUGGCACUUAAAGUGUCAAUUUUAACACUACU